GAUGAACGCUGGCGGCGUGCUUAACACAUGCAAGUCGAACGGAAAGGCCUCUGCUUGCAGGGGUACUCGAGUGGCGAACGGGUGAGUAACACGUGGGUGAUCUGCCCUGCACUUCGGGAUAAGCCUGGGAAACUGGGUCUAAUACCGGAUAGGACAAUGGUUUGGAUGCUGUUGUGGAAAGUUUUUCGGUGUGGGAUGAGCUCGCGGCCUAUCAGCUUGUUGGUGGGGUAAUGGCGUACCAAGGCGUCGACGGGUAGCCGGCCUGAGAGGGUGUACGGCCACAUUGGGACUGAGAUACGGCGCAGACUCCUACGGGGGGGAGCAGUGGGGAAUAUAGCACAAUGGGCGCAAGCCUGAUGCAGAGACGCGGCGUGGGGGAUGACGGCGUUCGGGUUGUAAACUCCUUUCGCUAGGGACGAAGCGUGUUUGUGACGGUACCUGGAGAAGAAGCACCGGCUAACUACGUG
rnacentral:rRNA from 1 species